CGAUAAUAUAUAGUUUGCAUACUUCACAUCAUUUAGACUGUUUCACAUCCAGACAGUUCUAAUCCAUUACCGAUGAUGUCAAUUGUACGCACGAGUAGUACAGGACAAAUUUACCGAUCAAUAACUUCCUCAUGUAUUCACUGUUGCCUGUUUAACGUUCAAAGACAAGUAUAUUGUACAUGUUCAGGACGAGACCUAAUAAACGUUUAAAGACAAGUAUAUUGUACAUGUUCAGGACGAGACCUAAUU
rnacentral:lncRNA from 1 species